AGAUUGAACGCUGGCGGAAUGCUUUACACAUGCAAGUCGAACGGCAGCACGGGGGCAACCCCUGGUGGCGAGUGGCGAACGGGUGAGUAAUGUAUCGGAACGUGCCCAGUCGUGGGGGAUAACUAUCCGAAAGGAUAGCUAAUACCGCAUACGACCUGAGGGUGAAAGCGGGGACCUGCAAAGGCCUCGCGCGAUUGGAGCGGCCGAUAUCGGAUUAGCUAGUUGGUGGGUAAAGCUCACCAAGGCGACGAUCCGUAGCGGGUCUGAGAGGACCGACCCGCCACACUGGAACUGAGACACGGUCCAGACCUCCGUACGGGAGGCAGCAGGUGGGUAAUUUUGGACAAGUGGGCGACGAAGCCC
rnacentral:rRNA from 1 species